GAUGAACGCUGGCGGCGUGCCUAAUACAUGCAAGUCGAGCGAACAGACGAGGAGCUUGCUCCUUCGACGUUAGCGGCGGACGGGUGAGUAACACGUAGGUAACCUACCUAUAAGACUGGGAUAACUUCGGGAAACCGGAGCUAAUACCGGAUAAUAUUUCGAACCGCAUGGUUCGAUAGUGAAAGAUGGCUUUGCUAUCACUUAUAGAUGGACCUGCGCCGUAUUAGCUAGUUGGUAAGGUAACGGCUUACCAAGGCAACGAUACGUAGCCGACCUGGGAGGGUGAUCGGCCACACUGGAACUGAGACACGGUCCAGACUCCUACGGGAGGCAGCAGUAGGGAAUCUUCCGCAAUGGGCGAAAGCCUGACGGAGCAACGCCGCGUGAGUGAUGAAGGUCUUCGGAUCGUAAAACUCUGUUAUUAGGGAAGAACAAACGUGUAAGUAACUGUGCACGUCUUGACGGUACCUAAUCAGAAAGCCACGGCUAACUACGUG
rnacentral:rRNA from 1 species